GCGGCCGUCGGUGCAGAUC
rnacentral:snRNA from 1 species